rnacentral:rRNA from 1 species
UACAGAGGGUGCGAGCGUUAAUCGGAAUUACUGGGCGUAAAGCGCACGUAGGCGGCUUGGUAUGUCGGGUGUGAAAUCCCCGGGCUCAACCUGGGAACCGCAUCCGAAACUGCCUUGCUAGAGUAUGGGAGAGGGAAGUGGAAUUUCCGGUGUAGCGGUGAAAUGCGUAGAUAUCGGAAGGAACAUCAGUGGCGAAGGCGACUUCCUGGACCAAUACUGACGCUCAGGUGCGAAAGCGUGGGGAGCAAACAGG